rnacentral:rRNA from 1 species
UACGUAGGGUGCAAGCGUUGUCCGGAAUUAUUGGGCGUAAAGAGCUUGUAGGCGGUUUGUCGCGUCUGCUGUGAAAUUUCGGGGCUCAACCCCGAACUUGCAGUGGGUACGGGCAGACUAGAGUGUGGUAGGGGAGACUGGAAUUCCUGGUGUAGCGGUGAAAUGCGCAGAUAUCAGGAGGAACACCGAUGGCGAAGGCAGGUCUCUGGACAGUUCCUGACGCUGAGGCACGAAGGUCAGGGGAGCAAACGGG